rnacentral:rRNA from 11 species
UACAGGCCUGAUGGCAUCCUUAACAUUCCUGAUCUUCAGUUCUCAGAAGUUAAAGAGGAUUGGGGUUUGCUUGUACUUAGAUGGGAGAAUACCAGGUGCUGACGUCUUAGAGAAAGCCAAUAUGGUAU